rnacentral:rRNA from 1 species
UACGUAGGUGGCAAGCGUUGUCCGGAUUUACUGGGUGUAAAGGGCGUGUAGGCGGGAAGGUAAGUCAGAUGUGAAAUACCGGGGCUCAACUCCGGGGCUGCAUUUGAAACUAUCUUUCUUGAGUGCAGGAGAGGAAAGUGGAAUUCCUAGUGUAGCGGUGAAAUGCGUAGAUAUUAGGAGGAACACCAGUGGCGAAGGCGACUUUCUGGACUGUAACUGACGCUGAGGCGCGAAAGCGUGGGGAGCGAACAGG